CCCCGAAGUCAAGCAUCAUUGGGCGCGGUCAGUACUUGGGUGGGUGACCACCUGGGAACAUCGCAUGUCGU